GACGAACCGUGCAAACGUUGUUCGGAAUCACUGGGCUUAAAGGGCGCGUAGGCGGUCAAGCACGUCCGGGGUGAAAGCCUCCAGCUCAACUGGAGAAGUGCCUCGGAUACGGCUCGACUCGAGGGGGGUAGGGGCGUGUGGAACUUCCGGUGGAGCGGUGAAAUGCGUAGAUAUCGGAAGGAACGCCGGUGGCGAAAGCGGCACGCUGGACCCCUUCUGACGCUGAGGCGCGAAAGCCAGGGGAGCAAACGGG
rnacentral:rRNA from 1 species